GAAUGCUGACAUAAGUAACGAUAAAGCGGGUGAAAAGCCCGCUCGCCGGAAGACCAAGGGUUCCUGUCCAACGUUAAUCGGGGCAGGGUGAGUCGACCCCUAAGGCGAGGCCGAAAGGCGUAGUCGAUGGGAAACGGGUUAAUAUUCCCGUACUUGGUGUUACUGCGAAGGGGGGACGGAGAAGGCUAUGUUGGCCGGGCGACGGUUGUCCCGGUUUAAGCGUGUAGGUGUGUGUUCCAGGUAAAUCCGGUUCACUUUAACACUGAGGCGUGACGACGAGGCACUACGGUGCUGAAGCAACAAAUGCCCUGCUUCCAGGAAAAGCCUCUAAGCAUCAGGUAACAUCAAAUCGUACCCCAAACCGACACAGGUGGUCAGGUAGAGAAUACCAAGGCGCUUGAGAGAACUCGGGUGAAGGAACUAGGCAAAAUGGUGCCGUAACUUCGGGAGAAGGCACGCUGACACGUAGGUGAAGUGAUUUACUCAUGGAGCUGAAGUCAGUCGAAGAUACCAGCUGGCUGCAACUGUUUAUUAAAAACACAGCACUGUGCAAACACGAAAGUGGACGUAUACGGUGUGACGCCUGCCCGGUGCCGGAAGGUUAAUUGAUGGGGUCAGCGCAAGCGAAGCUCCUGAUCGAAGCCCCGGUAAACGGCGGCCGUAACUAUAACGGUCCUAAGGUAGCGAAAUUCCUUGUCGGGUAAGUUCCGACCUGCACGAAUGGCGUAAUGAUGGCCAGGCUGUCUCCACCCGAGACUCAGUGAAAUUGAACUCGCUGUGAAGAUGCAGUGUACCCGCGGCAAGACGGAAAGACCCCGUGAACCUUUACUAUAGCUUGACACUGAACAUUGAGCCUUGAUGUGUAGGAUAGGUGGGAGGCUUUGAAGUGUGGACGCCAGUCUGCAUGGAGCCGACCUUGAAAUACCACCCUUUAAUGUUUGAUGUUCUAACGUGGACCCGUUACCCGGGUUGCGGACAGUGUCUGGUGGGUAGUUUGACUGGGGCGGUCUCCUCCUAAAGAGUAACGGAGGAGCACGAAGGUUGGCUAAUCCUGGUCGGACAUCAGGAGGUUAGUGCAAUGGCAUAAGCCAGCUUGACUGCGAGCGUGACGGCGCGAGCAGGUGCGAAAGCAGGUCAUAGUGAUCCGGUGGUUCUGAAUGGAAGGGCCAUCGCUCAACGGAUAAAAGGUACUCCGGGGAUAACAGGCUGAUACCGCCCAAGAGUUCAUAUCGACGGCGGUGUUUGGCACCUCGAUGUCGGCUCAUCACAUCCUGGGGCUGAAGUAGGUCCCAAGGGUAUGGCUGUUCGCCAUUUAAAGUGGUACGCGAGCUGGGUUUAGAACGUCGUGAGACAGUUCGGUCCCUAUCUGCCGUGGGCGCUGGAGAACUGAGGGGGGCUGCUCCUAGUACGAGAGGACCGGAGUGGACGCAUCACUGGUGUUCGGGUUGUCAUGCCAAUGGCACUGCCCGGUAGCUAAAUGCGGAAGAGAUAAGUGCUGAAAGCAUCUAAGCACGAAACUUGCCCCGAGAUGAGUUCUCCCUGAGACUUAAAGUCUCCUGAAGGAACGUUGAAGACGACGACGUUGAUAGGCCGGGUGUGUAAGCGCAGCGAUGCGUUGAGCUAACCG
rnacentral:rRNA from 1 species